UGGGGAAUAUUGGACAAUGGGGGCAACCCUGAUCCAGCCAUGCCGCGUGAGUGAAGAAGGCCUUAGGGUUGUAAAGCUCUUUCAGUCGUGACGAUGAUGACGGUAGCGACAGAAGAAGUCCCGGCUAACUCCGUGCCAGCAGCCGCGGUAAUACGGAGGGGGCAAGCGUUGUUCGGAUUUACUGGGCGUAAAGGGCGCGUAGGCGGGGUAUCAAGUUAGGGGUGAAAGCCCGGGGCUCAACCUCGGAACUGCCUUUAAAACUGGUACUCUAGAGUCCGUGAGAGGUGAGUGGAACUCCGAGUGUAGAGGUGAAAUUCGUAGAUAUUCGGAAGAACACCAGUGGCGAAGGCGGCUCACUGGCACGGUACUGACGCUGAGGUGCGAAAGCGUGGGGAGCAAACAGGAUUAGAUACCCCCGUAGUCC
rnacentral:rRNA from 1 species